AUUUCCUUUCAUCUUCCUACAGGAAUAUGAAGAACAGCAACAAAAAGACAACUCAUUUGUCCCUCAACAGCCUUUUGUUCAUUUGUUCCAGGACCACACCCAUAGCACCAGCAGUAACCAAAACACACAGGCAAAUGUGGAUGUGGAAGGAAGAAGACUCUGAUGGCACAGGCAGAGGCUGGGAAGUUGCAGCUGCAAAGCAACAACCCAAGAUGCAGCAAGUGCCAGAAACUAGGAAGAGCCCAUGGAGGACCCUACGCUGGAGCCUUCAGAUAGAGCAGGGAGCAGCAGGCCUCUGACAUCAGGCCCUGCCCUCCAGAACUUGCCUUCCACGACCAGUGAAGAUGCCUUUGAUCUCUGUCUUCAUUGCUCUCUUCAGAGGUUCCAUCAGCUUUGGACAGCUCUAUAGGCUAGAUGAGUUGCUUCCAGCUACUGUGACUGCUGGGAGGCUGCAGGUCAUGGUGCAAACUACCAGGGUCCCUGACACCCUUGUGGAAGACCUGGAUUCAGUUCCUGGGUCCUGGAACCACUCUGCCCCAGCUCUUCCUGAGGUGAGCUUUUAGGGAGUGAACCAGCUGAAGAGAAAUCUCUCUCACUCUUGUCACUCUGCCUUUAAAACAAAUAAUUUAAAUUUUGAAUUUAUUUUAGUUUCAUUGUUGACAUUUCUAAAGUAUAGGCAAAAGGGAAUCUCAUAUUUAAAAAUAGUGCAAAGCUGGGGCUGGCUUUGUGGAAGCCACCACCUGCAAUGCCAGCAUCCCGUAUGGGGGUUGGUUUAUGCCCUCCCAGCUGCUCCACUACCAAUCCAGCUCCCUGCUUAUGGCCUGGGAAAAGCAGCGGAAGAUGGCCCAA